CCCGCUGAAUUUAAGCAUAUUAGUAAGCGGUGGAAAAGAAACCAACAGGGAUUCCCUUAGUAGCUGCGAGUGAACAUAGCA
rnacentral:ncRNA from 1 species